rnacentral:rRNA from 1 species
UACAGAGACUGCAAGCGUUAUUCGGAUUCACUGGGCGUAAAGGGUGCGCAGGCGGCCAAGUGUGUCAGGUGUGAAAUCCCGAGGCUUAACCUCGGAACUGCGCCUGAAACUACUUGGCUAGAGUACUGGAGAGGGUAACGGAAUUCACGGUGUAGCAGUGAAAUGCGUAGAUAUCGAGAGGAACACCAGUGGCGAAGGCGAGUCCCUGGACACUUCCUGACACUGAGGCACGAAAGCUAGGGGAGCAAACAGG